rnacentral:rRNA from 1 species
GACGAACGCUGGCGGCGUGCUUAACACAUGCAAGUCGAACGAAGUGGCGAACGGGUGAGUAAUACGUGAGUAACCUGCCCUCCUUAUUGGGAUAAGCCUUGGAAACGGGGUCUAAUACCGAAUAAAGGGGGAUGGGCUCGGGGCCUAUCAGCUUGUUGGUGGGGUGAUGGCCUACCAAGGCGGUGACGGGGAGCCGGCCUGGGAGGGUGACCGGCGACAUGGGGACUGGGAUAAGGCCCAGACUGCUACGGGAGGCAGCAGUGGUGGAUAAUGCACAAUGGGCGGAAGCCGGAUGCAGGGACGCCGCGUGGGGGAUGAAGGCUUUCGGGUUGUAAACCUCUGUCGCGAUCGAAAGGGUAGGUGGAGAAGAAGCGCCGGCUAACUACGUGCCAGCAGCCGCGGUAAUUC